CGCAGCCUGGCCCAAAUGACAACCUCAUCCAAAUCGACCUACCACCCCGGCAACCUCCGCCGCCGAGCACCUUCCGCUGUGCCCGACCACCAUUCGCCACCCCCAAGCAUCCCACCGCAGUGCCUCCCCGACUAUUGUCGCCAGCUAACCUUCGCCUCUUCGUCCGAGACUAUCUGCACAAGGACGGGAAGGGAGGAAGACCCGAUGGGCGGAGGAGGUCGCAGCCGUUGCCCACACCGCGGAUCUGCCGCGGGGAUGCGGGAGAAGGACGCGGUUGCGUGGCCCCCGGAUCCGGCGAAGCACGUGCGCAAGAGGCGGCCAACGGGGCGCGGGGCACAACUCCAGAUCCGUGCGGCCCGAGCAGAGCGUGAAGCUAGGAAGCGGCCAUAUGCUUUGGGUGGCCGCCUUCGGUGCAGCCGGCGGCAAUGGCAUGGUUGUAGUUUGGCGGCUAGGUUUGGGUGCCCCGGUGUCACCCCUGCAAGUGACACAGAAGUGAGCGACCAGGAACCAGAAGAUGCCGGCAGUCUGUGAAGAAGUUUUUGAGUGGCUGUCUGUUCGGAGCUACCGGAAGAACAGGCUAGCUGCCAACGCACAAAGACCAAGGCGGAGAAUGAAGGUAGAAGCGAGACAGAAUACCCGGGGAAGGUCGACCUCAAGACUUACUUGAGCCACGAGAAUAUUUCCCUUGAGUUCGAGAGGAUGUUCAGUUGCUUCAUCACUUGUUCUCAGUUCUGCUCCUCUUCCAAAGCACCUAGCAUUAUUGAUUAUGAUUUCUCAUUUUUUUCCUGCAGCACACUGCCUAUAAGUAGUCUGGCCCAUUCAGUGAGCAGCGGCAGGGGCAGGCUGGCAGAACCUCAUCAGCCCCAUUUGCUUUGCAACCAGGAUGGACGCUGCCUCAAAAAGAUCUGUUUGCUCAAACAGGGAAUCGAGGACAGCAAGGACCAUUGAAGCCCGAGGUGUUUGGAAUUGGACAGUUCAAUCUCUACUUUUCUCCUCCAAUGAUUCAGGUGUUCCCGUUUUUCUAUUGAAAUUUGAAGUCGAAUAAAAUUUUGUCAUAUAUAUCUAUACGAAUGAAAUUAUGCACUAUGUUGUAGUUGCUGUCUUGAUGGGCACCAUUUUUUAAGUUUGCUAUGGGCCUCAGAAAAUUCAGGACCGGCCCUGUAUAUAUGUAGUGUUAUUUUCCUUUGUUGUUUGUAGAUGUAAGUUACCAAAUAUAGGUUAAUAUCUAGCCUGUAGUAAAUGUGAAGUUAGGAAUGAGUUUUUCCUUAUGCAUUUUCUAGUUUGUGAAGCAGCUUUUGGUAACCUGGUUCAGUUAGUCUGUUGAUGUUCAACUUUUAUACAGUUUCUUCCAUUAUAUCAAUUAAAUAGCACGCUGCCUCUGUAAUAGUAUUAAGUACUCUAUUCCUAGCCUUACUUAUAGAACUUUGUGUAACUAUAGGUAUUUUUUGUUUUCCUCUAAAAUAGAUUUAUAUUUCAAGGAAGCAGAUUCAUAAGUAAAAUCAUAGUAUUACAGCAGAACAUGUUCUUGCAAAACAUCAACAUGAAAGAGGUUUGCUGAUGGUUCUAGGUCCGAUGCUCUUAGGGACCAUGAGUAUGUCCUUACCUAUGAAGACAAGGAUGCUGACUGGAUGCUCGUUGGCGAUCUUCCUCCGGAUUCAACAAGUUGUGUCUCAAGCUUGUAAGUUCUGUCACAAGGAUGAGAUUGUUAGAAUGCUACAAAACUUUUACGUGAUAGCAGUUGUUCCAGUCAACUAGGAUGUCUACAUGAUGUUUCUUGUAUUCAUAGCAAAAACACAAUCUUGUGGCGCAAGGUUAAGCUCUGAUCUUCAAAAGCAUUGCAAGCUUGGUGAUUCUUCUGCGGGAGACAUGUGGUCCUGUUUAAAUUAUGUUGUUUCACAUGAUGGUGGCGAGUCUGUUAUUCACAAGACAUCUAAUGAAGUCAUCCAACAAAAAGGUUCCGAACAAGCAAUUUGUCUUCCUGGACAUGGCUGUAGCUGUGUGUCAAGCUCAAACCACUUGUUUAGCUUAGUUUGAACAAAAGAAAUCUUAUUGUCUAUGUAAAUUCUGUUUAUUGAUGUAGUUGGACGCUACUAAAUGCAUGUAUGAAUGUUGUAGUACUGAAUUUUUAGUCAUUAUGUGUUUGAGAUUUGCUACUGAA